rnacentral:tRNA from 1 species
GGUGGGAUUCCCGAGUGGCUAAAGGGAGCAGACUGUAAAUCUGCCGUCUGAGACUUCGAAGGUUCGAAUCCUUCUCCCACCA